rnacentral:rRNA from 1 species
AACGAACGCUGGCGGCAGGCCUAACACAUGCAAGUCGAGCGAGAUCUUCGGGUCUAGCGGCGGACGGGUGAGUAACGCGUGGGAAUAUGCCUCUUGGUACGGAAUAGCCUCGGGAAACUGGGAGUAAUACCGUAUGUGCACUUUGGGGGAAAGAUUUAUCGCCAAGAGAUUAGCCCGCGUUGGAUUAGGUAGUUGGUGGGGUAAUGGCCUACCAAGCCGACGAUCCAUAGCUGGUUUGAGAGGAUGAUCAGCCACACUGGGACUGAGACACGGCCCAGACUCCUACGGGAGGCAGCAGUGGGGAAUCUUAGACAAUGGGGGCAACCCUGAUCUAGCCAUGCCGCGUGAGUGAUGAAGGCCUUAGGGUUGUAAAGCUCUUUCAGCUGGGAAGAUAAUGACGGUACCAGCAGAAGAAGCCCCGGCUAACUCCGUG